rnacentral:tRNA from 1 species
GGAGAGGUGGCUGAGUGGCCGAAAGCGGCAGAUUGCUAAUCCGUUGUACACUAGUACCGAGGGUUCGAAUCCCUCUCUCUCCG